CUGAGUGAGUAUGGUCUGACAAAACUUUCAGUAAUAUUCCAACAAUAUGAAGGAGAAUCAAACCCAGGCAUUAAUAUGGAGUAAACGCUUUUACCACUAGGCCACCUCACUAAAUAAGAAUAAUUGGUGCUUGUAAUUAGUUUCAAGGGUGCUGUUGUACAAAGCAAUGUUUGCUUUAAGAUGAUCAUAACUACCAUUCUUUAACACAGAAGUAUAACAAUUGUAUCUAACUAUGCGUAAGGUGGCACACAUUUAUAUUUUCUGAAGGCAAGUUUAUUGUUGGCAGUCCUAUGAAACAGGAGUGCUUUAAGUUUUUGUUGGAAUUUGACCUUUGAUGGUGAUUUUGCUAAAGGCUACGACACAAAUUUUUAACAUUAGAAGUUAUUGUUGGACUUCUCCUAACUGACCCUUGGGAAUUCUUUUGGCACAUGUCAUGAAAAGGUCAAAGGUUGAGGUCAUGAGAUAGAAAAGUGCUUACAUAACACAUUUUAAUGCAGUUAUCUUUAAGUUCGGUAUAUACCAUCAUUUAUGCACCUUUUAAGAAUUUUUCAACCGAAUAAUUUUUCUCACAAAUAAUGGCUCAAAUAUAUUUGACAGUAUAUCCUACAAUGGUCUUGUUCCACUUGGAGGUGUAAUGAGGUCAGAGGUCAAGGUUACAUAACUUACAAAAUAGGAAGAUCUCGCUCAAGAACUUGUUACACUUUCAAAUAUAGUAGUAAUGAAUGUAUAAUUAAACUUGAAGUGUAUAUUGUUUCCAGGAUGUAACACCUUUUUGAUUUGUCCAUGAAAGGUCAAGGCUAUCUCUGAGAGCAUUAUUGUAAUAUAUUUUAAGAUCAAUGUUUUUCGACUGGAAGUACUCGGUGGUAAAAUGAAAGACUUUAAGCUUUGAGAAAUUUUUGUUGAAGGCCGAUACUUAUGCUUUUGAUCACUGGAUUGUCUGGUCCAGACUCGAUUAUUUACAGACUGCCAUAUAGCUGGAAUAUUGCUGAAUGCGGCAUUAAACAAAGCAGUAGUAGUUGAAGGUGCUGCAUCAGAAAGUAAUCGUAGUGGAGGUGGAGCUUCAGUUUUUGUGCUUAGUUUUCCUUAACUGGAAUCAUAGUGAGGCCAAACGUUUUAUAGACUGCUAAUGGAAA